AUUUCAGUUGUACAUGCAGUAAAAAAAAAAAAAAAGUAUUGAUAUGUUAAAGAAUGAAACAAGCAGUGUUCAAACGUGACGAAACCUGAAGUGGACGUACAGCCUUCGUGGAGCAACCUCCAGUCCACUCCAUCACAACCAUGAAGUCCAUGACAAGAGAAUGUACAUCUAUUUUAUAUUCUCUUCCUUUUUGUUAGGCAUGUGGUUAGCAAAUGCACUCUAGCCUCCCAAUAGCUACUGGGACUAUUAAUAAUGUAUAACAUAGUAUUGCUGGAAGGAGCACAGGUGAAAGAGAAAAGAGAGAGACAGAGAGGGAAGACAAGCGCAGUCGCGUAAAUCAUAAUUCACAGAAAUGAUGGCUACUCAACCCGCUGUUACGCCGCCGCUGUCUUGAGACGAGAGAGGCCGAUGUCAGAGACUGACGGCCGGCCGACAUUCCCCGAAGUGUCCGCCGCUACCACUCUCUCAUUCCGCCCGUAGUAUACUACUGCGCAAGAUGGUCCCAGUGAUAGUCGACGAGGAGUCCAAUGGUUAAAUGGCUAGUGUUUAAGAAAAAAACCUUUCUUUCUCCUUUUAGGUUGAAGUUUCGAUUUUUGACGGAGGACGCGUCACCUUGCAGCGGUUCAUGACUCCCCACUCUUUCUUGGAGAUAUAAAAGAGGGCAGGACGAUGCGUUUCACCGGGAGUCCAUUGAAUAUCACUAACACACACAGACACGGACAAUAAUUGGCGUGGCCCCACAGGCACUCUCCUAUGUCACUGUAAUGGUUAUCACACGCCAGACUUGGUCAUCGACAGAAAGAGGCAUUACACCACAUUCUACAACUAUAGAACAAUAACAUAAAUAUAUAUGUAUCACAUGUAAAAAUGAAAUAAUAAAAUAAUGAACACACAUGUGUUGUCAA